CAGUGUUCACUUCAGCAGCACUGAAAUUGGAACAAUACAAAAAAGAUUAGAAUGACCCCUGUGCAAGGAUGACAUGCAAAUUUGUGAAGCUUUCCAUAUUUUA